CUAAUACAUGCAAGUCGAACGAACUCUGGUAUUGAUUGGUGCUUGCAUCAUGAUUUACAUUUGAGUGAGUGGCGAACUGGUGAGUAACACGUGGGAAACCUGCCCAGAAGCGGGGGAUAACACCUGGAAACAGAUGCUAAUACCGCAUAACAACUUGGACCGCAUGGUCCGAGUUUGAAAGAUGGCUUCGGCUAUCACUUUUGGAUGGUCCCGCGGCGUAUUAGCUAGAUGGUGGGGUAACGGCUCACCAUGGCAAUGAUACGUAGCCGACCUGAGAGGGUAAUCGGCCACAUUGGGACUGAGACACGGCCCAAACUCCUACGGGAGGCAGCAGUAGGGAAUCUUCCACAAUGGACGAAAGUCUGAUGGAGCAACGCCGCGUGAGUGAAGAAGGGUUUCGGCUCGUAAAACUCUGUUGUUAAAGAAGAACAUAUCUGAGAGUAACUGUUCAGGUAUUGACGGUAUUUAACCAGAAAGCCACGGCUAACUACGUGCCAGCAGCCGCGGUAAUACGUAGGUGGCAAGCGUUGUCCGGAUUUAUUGGGCGUAAAGCGAGCGCAGGCGGUUUUUUAAGUCUGAUGUGAAAGCCUUCGGCUCAACCGAAGAAGUGCAUCGGAAACUGGGAAACUUGAGUGCAGAAGAGGACAGUGGAACUCCAUGUGUAGCGGUGAAAUGCGUAGAUAUAUGGAAGAACACCAGUGGCGAAGGCGGCUGUCUGGCUGUAACUGACGCUGAGGCUCGAAA
rnacentral:rRNA from 1 species